AACUAAAAAUCAUUAACUACAUUAGCUCUAGAAUAUUUUUCUCUUGUAUUUGCUUACAACAUUUCGGAUAUGUCUGCAAAAUAAAUUAAUAAGCGAGGGCAAGCCCAAUGACGACCACAAUGCUGCCAAACGUACCUCAGUAACAUCGACAACGUAUUUAACUUACUCCCACAAUCAGUCGUCAUCGUCUUCCCAUUAUCAUCAACAGAAACUGCUUAAGCAUUUUAGUGGACAUCGUACAUAGUGGACGCAUACAUACGAUGAUACAGAUGUAUCCAGCAUUGGAGUUACAUACCACGCGAAGCACUUAUGCGUGCUUAAUCAAUCAGAUGCGCCCUCAUGCGUUCUUUGGGUUAAGACACAUACCAUACGUCCUUUGCUGCGUUCGAAUUUCUAAAAAUCAGCUUAUUUAUGUUAAGUUCAAUGGAAUUUGGCAAUAAUUUAUGGACUGCAAAACAAUUUUGAACAGUAAACAUAUUUAAAUCAUA
rnacentral:sRNA from 1 species